rnacentral:rRNA from 1 species
GUGGGGGAUAUUGCACAAUGGGGGAAACCCUGAUGCAGCGACGCCGCGUGGAGGAAGAAGGUUUUCGGAUUGUAAACUCCUGUCGUUAGGGACGAUAAUGACGGUACCUAACAAGAAAGCACCGGCUAACUACGUGCCAGCAGCCGCGGUAAAACGUAGGGUGCAAGCGUUGUCCGGAAUUACUGGGUGUAAAGGGAGCGCAGGCGGACCGGCAAGUUGGAAGUGAAAACUAUGGGCUCAACCCAUAAAUUGCUUUCAAAACUGCUGGCCUUGAGUAGUGCAGAGGUAGGUGGAAUUCCCGGUGUAGCGGUGGAAUGCGUAGAUAUCGGGAGGAACACCAGUGGCGAAGGCGACCUACUGGGCACCAACUGACGCUGAGGCUCGAAAGCAUGGGUAGCAAACAGG